AGAUUGUUUUAAUUCAAGACUGAAAUACAUAACUGGAGAGGCAACAUGUCGUCCUCUGAAGGUUCGAUAGUUACUGCUAAAGAGACCUUCCAGAUAUUGAUGGAAAUGUCUAAACUUUUAAAUACAGAAUGGAUUGUAGGAACGUCAAGAGAAAACGAUGUGGCGUUGGAGUGUGUAUGGGGUACACUACUGCAAACAGGAUGGAUAUAGGCUCCACAACAAUACAAAUUUUUAUUCAGGAUAUGGUUGAGACGUCUACAGCCCUACGUCGUCCGGUCCAAAGGGAGCAGACAGAAGAAGCAGGUUGUGGCCUGUGUGGAAUAAUAUGUAUUUAUACAAUACAAGAUGGAGUAUUUGAUGGUGCCCGGAUCGACCCCAAGAGGUUGCUAGGAGCUCCAAAAUGCACAUCUGCCAUGAUAUUAAUAAAACUGUAGAAACAUAUAGGACAAAUAAUAAUACAAAAUCAAUCUUCAUUGGGGUUACAAUGGGAGCUGUCUUCUCUUAAGCAGGGCAAUGGGGACGAUCCAAGCCCUCUUAUGACAGUCAUUAAACCCCCACCAUUCAACAUGUAAAGUUGGCUGAGGCUAACCCUAAACAUCUGGCCUCAGACAUAAUGUAAAAAUUUUAUAAAUUAUAUACUUUGUGCGCUUCAGGAAUUAGGAUUAUGGAAUCGGCCUCUCGGGCCUGACAGCUGAGUGGACAGUGCUCGGGAUUCGUAGUCCUAAGGUUCCGGGUUCGAUCCCCGGUGAAGGCGGAAACAGAUAAGCAUAGUUUCUUUCACCCUGAUGAACCUGUUUACCUAGCA